rnacentral:rRNA from 1 species
UACGGAGGAUCCAAGCGUUAUCCGGAUUUAUUGGGUUUAAAGGGUGCGUAGGCGGUUUAUUAAGUCAGGGGUGAAAGACGGCAGCUUAACUGUCGCAGUGCCUUUGAUACUGAUGAACUUGAAUGUACUAGAAGUAGGCGGAAUGUGACAAGUAGCGGUGAAAUGCAUAGAUAUGUCACAGAACACCGAUUGCGAAGGCAGCUUACUAUGGUAUUAUUGACGCUGAGGCACGAAAGCGUGGGGAGCAAACAGG